AUUACCUUCUUGAGUUGUGGCUCAGACACUACAACAGAGCUCUGUCACCUCUUUCUAAAAGCUGGGAAAUGGUUAUUGUCAACGCCAGCCCCAUUUUGGAGGCACCUGGUUGCAGGGGACCACAGCUAGCUGGGUGCGGUGGCUCAGGACUGUAAUUCCAGCUACAUGAGAGGAUUGCCUGAGGCCAGGAGUUUGAGACCAGCCUGAACAACAUAAUAGACUGGGAGCUCCAUGAGGUCCGAGACAACCUGAAGACGCCCAGCUCAGCAGAGACUGGCUACGGCAAUCACUCAGUAACUAUUUGUUGAAUUGGACAUAAUAGAAGAGCUGAAGAAUUUUAAACAAGUCACCAUCAGUGCAGUGGAUUCCUCAAAGCAAACCUGGAAAUCUCGGCAUGAGUUGGAUUUAAGGCAGUACAUUUUCAGCUCCUGAAAAUUUGAACAGUUUCUCAAGAGAACAACUUGAAACAGAAAGGCAAGGAUGUAGAUGUGGUUGUAGAAGAUGAUGUCUGCGGCCACCAAACUGUCCACUGUGAAGACAAACCAUGCAUGUUUAGUAGGCAGUGGCUCCUCUUCCCUGUGGGGAGUCCCACUGCUUCCCUGGCCUGGGUGUUCUCUGCCGGUAGAUGUUAUUGACAAAAUAAGCAAAGUCCUCUGAUUCUGAGAAUUAGAGUUAAUGAUAGCUCUAGAUUGCCUCUGCCAUGCUAUUUAAAGUCCUGCUUUAUUGUCUGACAUGAGUUCGGCAUCUAUGAGGACUUGUCCAGUGCAAAGUACAAUCUCCACUGAAAGAUAUCACCAGCACAUCUUGUCACUGUGCUGUAGCAAGCUGGGCAGUACAAUGAUGUUGGCAGGAUCCUGUUUAGGUGGAGGAUGGCCACCUGGGCAUCAAGAAUCUUCUACCCUGAUUCCACAUUGACUCCCCAAAGUGGGCUUCAGACAGCUCUUUACUUACGUCUUCUGAUUAAAGCAGCAGACAGGGUCCCAGCUAGAGAAAAGUUCUGGGAGCAGGAGAGGUGUUGGUGGCUUUAAAACCAGGGGUGAAGAUUGAAUUAGGAGGUUAGGCAGGAGUAGGAUCAAAGACUUAGAAAAUGCUUGUUUCCUCCUAUUAUUCUUAUGAGAGCUGAUACGGGGCUUUCAGUUUUGGGGGAGAGCCUUGGAAGAGAAUGAGGGAAUUUAAUCAACUAGCGGGACCUUUCCAACUUACAUUUCCCAGUGUUUGUUGGAUGAUACGUUUGCCUAAUAAGUUAAAGCUUCCAAAAAUAGAAAGGAAAGCUUGGUGACACUAAGCUCUGGCAUGCUGUCAUCUUCUGGCUAGGGGUCUUGUGCUUCUGUUUUUCUAUUUCUGACCAAAGACAUAAAAUGUGUUGUGACCUCUCAGGUAAUGCUGUGGUAUCAUGUCCAAGCAGUAACUAACCAGAGUGGAGUUUUUACAGGUAAAAAAGUAUUGAAUAGCUCAGCAACAGGGAGGACUUAAUGAUAAAUUGCUUUUUCAGAAAAUGACAAGGGGACAGACACUUGCGGUUCUUCCAUUGAGAGCCUUAAGGAAGUUAAGCGAAGCCUCUGCUCACCCCUUCAAGUAACGAUGACCCAUCAGAUCGUGGUCAUAACCAGUAGCAUCUGAGGCACCCCUAAGCUCUCUGGGCCCCAGAUUCCUUGUUAAGUUAAAUGAGGUGACUUCCCAGUUUACCAUUCUAGGGGUUCCUGAGGAGUUAAAAAUGAAGGAGAAAAUGCAACAUGUACCAAGUGAGCAAGAGCUCAAGGCUUAUCUCUGGCACGAAAGUGACCGCUGUCCGUUAGAGAUGUGAUUGCCCUAGAUUUCCUUUAGGAAAUGCAAACAUUGAACUCUGGCCUUCAGGACCCAAGUCCCGGCUUGCAUCUAUUCUAUACACUUUCUGUUAUUUGUUAGGGCUCACAAGGAACAGUUAUUUAUCUUUUAUUUUCUAUUUUUUUUUUAGAGAUGGAGUCUCACUCUGUCUCCCAGGCUGGAGUGCAGUGGUGCCAUCUCAGCUCACUGCAACCUCCACCUCCCGGGUUCAAGCAAUUCUCCUGUCUCAGCCUCCUGAGUAGCUGGGACUACAGGCGUGUGCCAUCAUGCCCGGCUAAUUUUUAGUAUUUUUAGUAGAGGCAGGGUUUCACCAUAUUGGCCAGGCUGGUCUUGAACUCCUGAUCUCAAGUGAUCUACCCUCCUUGGCCUCCCAAACUGCUGGAAUUACAGAUGUGAGCGACCACACCUGGCCCAUUUGUUUUCUUUCAAACCCUUCUGUAAGACCAGUGCUUUAGGUGAACACGUGGACAGAACAAGAUCAUCACUAUUUUGCAAUAUGAAGACCAACUGCGCUGUGACCAGAAAAACAGAGGCAAAAUGUUGAGCUUAAUGAUACCUUUUUAUAAUUUGUAUUUGGUGUUUCUCAAUUUUCCAUUGGAUAGUUUGAGAGAUAAGUACAAGUCAAUGACAUGUUCUCUUUCGUACCCUAUUGUCUAAUCCUGCUAACACACACACACACACACACACACACACUGAUUACCUAAUUUAUCUGUUCCCCGAUUAUUACACUCUCAAUUGCUGCAGAGUCUCAGAAGCAGCAUGGUGUAACAGAAAGAAUAUGAGGCUUAGAAUCCAAAAGCCAGAGUGUGAAUUCCAGCUCCACUGACUUGCUGCGUGACUUGAAGCAAGUCAUUACGUGUCUCUGUUUACUCAUUUUAUGACUUUCCUAUUGCCUCUGUAAUAUAGCACCACAAACGUGUGGACUUAAAACAACAUGCAUUUAUUCUCUUAGCGUUCUGGAGGUCAGGAGUCUGACAUCAAUUUCGUUGGGCUAAAAUCAAGAUGUUGGUAGGACCAAGAUCCCCGUGGAGGCUCUGGGAGAACCCAUUUCCUUGCCUUUGCCAGCUUCUAAUGCUGCAUUCCUUGCAUUCCUUGAUUGUUGACCUCUUCCCCCAUCUUCAAAGCCAGCAGAACAGCACCUUGUUUCAUUGCCUUCUUUACUGUCAAAUCUCCCUCUGCCUUCUUCUUAUAAGAACACUUGUGGUUGCAUUUAGAAGCUGUGAUAAUCCAGAAUAAUAUCUUUAUCUCAAGAUCUUUGACUUGGUCUCUUCUGCAAAGUCUCUUUUGCCACAGAGGGAAAUAUUCACAGGUCCCAGGGGUCAGGCUGUGUACGUCUUUGGGGGACUUUAUUCUGCCUACCACACUCAUCUUUUUUUUUUUUUUUUUUGGAUGGAGUCUUGCUCUGUCACCCAGGCUGGAGUGCAGUGGCAUGAUCUCGGCUCACUGCAACUUCUGCCUCCCCAGUUCAAGCAAUUCUCCUGCCUCAACCUCCCAAGUAGCUGGAAUUACAGGCGCCUGCCACCACGCCCGGCUACUUUUUGUACUUUUAGUAGAGAUGGGGUUUCACUAUGUUGGCCUGGCUGGUCUUGAACUCCUGACCUCAGGUGAUUCCCCCACCUUGGCCUCCCAAAGUGCUGAGAUUACAGACGUGAGCCACCAUGCCCGGCCCCACACUCAUCUAUUAAGUAGAGCUAGGAAUUCCUAUCCUAAGGGACACAAAAAUGAAAAAAGAUAAAAUUUGUGAAGAGGCACAUAAUGAAAGCCCAUACAUGUCACUGAGUUCAGAGGAGGGUGGGUCUGACCUCCCAUUGGCUGGUCUCUGCCUGAUGGACAUCGUGAAGAAGAGAGCCAGGACUAGUGUGGCUGGGGGAUGUUCAGGGGCCAGAGUGGCUUCAGGUGCCAGCAGCCCUGGCCGAAGGAUGACUCCAGGAGCAAGGCUCAGAGCCGAGUGGAAGAAGCUUCAUAAACGCAACUGAGCCAAGCAUGAUGGGAUGUGCCUGUGGUUCCAGCUACUCAGGAGGCAGGUGGGAGGAUGGCUUGAGUCAGAAGUUCGAGGCUGCAGUGAGCUAUGAUCACACUACUGUACUCCAGCCUGGGUGACAGAAUGACACCCUGUCUCUAAAAAGAAAAGGCACCUGGAUGCUCAUGACCGAGAUGGGGUGGGGUGGGUGGGGUGGGACAGCCGCACUUUAUAACUUUGCUUUCAGCAUGAUGUGGAUUAGUGUCUCCCAUGUGGGAAAAUUAUGUUUACCACUUAGAGACCUGAUAGUGCUUGCUUACCCCAUAACGCUGGACGGUGGCAGGCUUAACUCCCCCAUCAAGGGCCUUAAUGUAUUUGGGGCCCUAGUCCUAGCAACAGCAGCAAAUCUCCUUUUUCUUUUCCUCGAGCUGGUUGUUCACCAGGCAGUUGGGAUGUUAAUGGGAAGAGAAGACACACACAAGUCCCUUGUUUUCAAUAAGGCAGUCUGGUCACGUCCUUAGCAGGUUAUUAAUCUUUUUCAAACCCCUCCUCUCCACCAAGUUUUAUGAUCCUGGGAAGGAGAUUCCUACCUAGCAUCCUUAGAGUUAUCGGGGGUUAGGAUCGGUGCAUGCAGUCACUUCCGUGGAAUCAUCAGUAGCCCUCCAGCCUCUGGGGAGAGCUGCCAGUGGUCAGAGAUGUUGGGAAUUACGAGGGAGGAGCUAGGGAGAAGGAACUCACAGUCCCUCAGUCUCUGAAGGUGGCUCCUGGCAGGAGAGGGGGCCAGUCCUAGAUAAGAGCUCUCCCAGGGAAUUCCAAGGGUCCUCCCAAGGUCCAGCCACAAGAUGAGGAAUUACUGUUGGGCUCUUCCUCAGAUGUGCCUGUGAAUUCAUAUCACAGAUGCUUGAUGCAUUUGACAAUUGUUUAAUUGCUUGAGCCCAACUGAUACUCUUUCAGUCACUUUAAGGGAGUGAUUUCAAGUAUGAUCAUUGCCUCAAAUCUGUAUGGCUUUCCUUGCCUUUCAGGUGCUUUAAGAGGGCUUAUGUUCUUUGACUCCCCUAGUAACUCAAAAGGGUGGCUAAGAUGCAACUCUGGAGGUUUCCAAGCUCUCUGCAAAGCCUGCCUUCAGUAGUCUGUGCACCACAAGAAGCAUAACUUUAUUAUCCUCUAGCUGAAUUUACCUCCUGCUUCGAGCCCCUGUUUUCCCAUGUCAUUUUAGGGGUCCAAUGUUUUUCCUGGAGGCAUAUACACACACACACACACACACACACACACACACACACACACACACACACACACAUAUAUACACACACACAUUCCAGGGGCCUCUGAGGUGCCAAGACAUGUGUGGGGUCCAUCUGGUUCACACUGAUGUCCAUGAUCAUUGAGUUCAUUUUUUAUAUCAACUAUGUGACACUUCCUAUAGUUUCCAGUUCCUGGUUAGAAUUUGCAAAGUUGCCGACUAUUUCUUUGAAUAGAGUAGCUAGAUCAUGGGUCUACACCAGUCAUCAAGCAGCGAUUUCCCUGUUGGAAGCUCCAAGCAAAUUGUCAGCUCCAGCAUUCCACACAGCUGUGGGUGCCACACUCCUUUUCCUUUUAAAAGAUGAUGAUCUGCUAGUGGUGAAUGCUCUUGGAGUUUUAUUUGUAGGUUUUUCUUGUUGUCGCAAAUGUCUAUAUUUCAUCUUCCCUCUUGAGGGAUAUUUUCCAUGGGUAGAGGAUCUAGGCUUUUCUUUUGGAUUCCAUUGUGGCUUUAAAAAAAAGUCAGUUGACUGUUUAUUUAUGGCUUCUCUAAAGGUGAUCUCUUUCUUCCUAAGGCUGCUUUAAAAGUUUCCGUUCCCUCCCUCCCUUCCUCCCACCCCAUCCCCCUUCUUCCUUUCCUUCCUCCCUCCCUUCCUCCCUUCUCUUCCUCCCUUUCUCCCUUGUCUUCCUCCUUUUCUCCCAUCCUCCCUUCCUCCCUCUUUCCUUCUUUUUUCCCUUCCUCCCGCCCUCCUUCCUUCUUCCAUCAUUAUAUAUUAAAAUAUUUUCUUUCUUUCUUUUUUUUUUUUGAGAUGGAGUUUCGCUCUUGUUGCCCAGGCUGGAGUGCAACGGUGUGAUCUUGGCUUACUGCAACCUCCACCUCCCUGGUUCAAGCGAUUCACCUGCCUCAGCCUCCCUAGUAGCUGGGAUUACAGGUGCCCGCCACCACACCCAGCUAAUUUUUGUAAUUGUAGUAGAGAUGGGGUUUCACCAUGUGGGCCAGGCUGGUCUUGAACUCCUGAACUCAGGUAAUCCACCCGCCUUGUCCUCCCAAAGUGCUGGAAUUACAGGCAUGAGCCACCACUCCCAGCCUAUUAAAAUAUUUUCUUCUGGGCCUUCCCUCCUUUUACUUCUUUUGAUACCGCCAUCAAAUGCAUGUUAGGUUGACUCACUGUGUACUCUAUUACCCUCUCAUCUGGUUUUUAAUCUUUCUGUCUCCUUAUACUGUAAUCUCAGUGUUUCUUCUGCUUUAAUUUUGGUAUAUGAAUUAUUCAGCUGUGUUCAAAGUGUGGUUAAAGCGACUUAUAUGCUCUUUAAUUUUUAGUUAUUGUACUUUUCACCUCUAGAAGUUCUUCUGUGACACUUCUUAUAGUUUCCAGUUCCUGGUUAGAAUUUGCAAACUUGUUGACUAUUUCUUUGAAAAGAGUAGCUAGAAUUGUUUUAGUCUGUGUAUAGUGAGUUGAAUAUCUGAAACCUCUGUGAGUCUGUUUCUUUUGUCUGCUAGCCCUACUCAUGGCGUCAUGUUUUCCUGGAUGUUUAGUUGGUUGUCUUUGAAUAUGUCCAACUCCAGUUAUUUCUGGGAAUACCCAAAGGCACACCUGUUCACUAUCACCCAGUGAACUGCCAUGUGUUUGUCUCCUGUCAUGGUAACAUUUGCAUUCAGGGAGAGGCCUCUGCUCUCUGCAGAACAGUGUGAAAUCACCUCAUUUUUGCCUUCAAUGAAGGUUGUCUCUUGCUGGUCACCACCACUUCCUCAAAUGACUAAUGCCACUCUUGCUCACAGUGCUAAGGCGCUAAGGAGUUUUCAGAGGGCUAGAGUGAUUCUGCAUCCUCUGGGGUUCUCAGGAAACGAGGCCACAGGGCCAUCUGUGCAUGAGUGACAGUGGGGUGGGGUGGAUGAGCAGUGGCAGUGGUGGGCACCUAUGCUGCUGGCGCCACAGCUUUUUAUAUCUUGGUGAAAACAACGCCUUGCGUUUUCACUUGUAGAUUCUCCGGCUACAUUCCACAAGAACAAAUUCUGGUCACAGAGGCCAGAGUAGACUAUCAGUGUAAUGGCCCUUCCCCUUUGAUGAUAGCAGCUUUUUUCGGGGGAGCAGGGGUGGCCAAACUUCCUAGCCUUAUUUUAUCUUCCUUUCUAGUUCUCCCCAGAGGCUGCUGGGUCCACCUCUCCCUCUGCCAGACAGACAGGCUCAGACAUGCAAGAACGGAAGGGGGUGUGGGGGUUGGUGGGAGGAUUAAGUUGGGGAAAGCCAGUCUUGUCUUUGUAGAUUACCAGAACUGACACACGUACACACACGUACACUCACUCACUCACUCACUCAUCUAUUCAUCUAUUUUUGGCCUAAGUGCCUUUGGACACUUCUUCGGAAAAGCACAUGAACUCUUCGGAGUCUCCUGUUCCACUUGGUAAAUUUCCUAUAGCCACGCACUGAAAGUCCCUGCUGCCCUCCUUCCUCUGAGCUUGUGGGGCCCACAGAUCCCCUGCUCCACUUCCUGCUUCAUUUCAGCUGAUGGUGAGUCCAGGGCAGGCUUGUAGGAAGGGCGGGCUAGGCGUGGGGAACUGCAGCACCCACCCCACCCCCCGCCCCAGUGCUUGUUGCCCCAGCCUCUGUCUCCCUCGCUGUGCCCUUCCCUUAAGCCCCACUCUUGGCCUCCCCAAAGACAGAGUUUGUUCUGUUUUUAUUGAUAGGAUGACACUCCCUCGUUCUAAUACCAUCUGAAUGCCUGAGCAAUUACAUCUUACAACCUCAUGAAAAACACAGCAGCUUGUCACGAUGAAUGAUGUUACCGUGAAUAAUGCAGUUUUGAGUUCAAACUCCUUCUUAUUCCAAGAAUGAGUAAAUAUCCCUAUUCCCUCCCCUCCCCAUUGCAUUUGGGUUUGACAUGACAUGAAUCAUUGUGGUUUUACUCCUGGGUAGAAUUGUUUUUCUGUAUUGCAUUGCCAAUUGAUGGAAGGACAAAAAAAGGAAACUUACCAAUGAGCAGUUUCAGAUGAACUUAAAUUCUCAGAAAUCUUGAAGAAUGAAUGAACUAUAACUUUCUGAAGUUGCAAAAAUGUUCAAGUCGGAAGUGACCCAUGGGAAGCAACCUGGUCCUUAAUUAGGACUGGAAAGAAAACGGAGGCCCAGCGAGGGAACAGUGGCUUCCCCAAGGUCACACUGCAAGUGAGUGGUGGCACUAGUCACCCAGGAGUCCUCCUGACUCCAUGGUAUCCUGACCCCAGACCAGCAGCCUUAUUUGUGGUUAAAGAACGUGGAAAAACAGCUUAUGUUUGAAUUUUAAAAUCAUGCCAGUACUAAAGAUCUGCAUUCCAUGAAUAUUGAGCUUUGCUGUGUGCGGGUUGCUACGAAUUUUGUAACUAUUUUCUCUAAGAGCUCUCAGUAUUUUACAUAUACAAUUCCAUUCUUUAUUGUCCAGGGAAAAAGUUGCAUUUACUGAGCAGUAAGAGGGUGAUUUGAAGUCCCUGGGGUCCCCCACCCUUGUCUUUCUAUGUGAGAUUGUAUUGCAGGGCUCACAUUUAUUCUCUCAGCAGCUCAUUGCACAGACAGUGUAUUUAUUGAGCACCUACUGUGUGCCAGGAGCUAUGUGGUAAGCUAAGCAGACAAAAACUCCUGCUCUCACAAGAAGAAAGAAUAAACAAGCAGACAAUUGCA
rnacentral:lncRNA from 1 species